AAGUAGAUGAGUUGCUUAGAUCUGCAUGGCUGAAGAAAAAAGAGGUUCAGUCAAAGAACUUAAGGAGAAAGAAAAAUUGGCUUGAUAAGUUACUCAAGGGGAAGCACAGAGUAACUAAAGGACCAACAAAACAGGGAGAAAAGGUAAGUUGCAAUUGGUACAUGAUAUGUUGUUAUUGCUCAUUUGUUAACUAAUUACAUUGAUUUUUGUUCUCGUCCACAAGGGAUGAAGGAUGGUGUGCAACAAAAGCAAAAAGAUUGUGUGCAGCCUCAAGUAGAAGCGGAGAAAUAUGACAACAACAAAGAAGUAAAUUUGGUGCUUCAACAGUGCAAUAAUAUUAUGAGUUUCACCCAGCUCUUGACCGCUGACCAUGAUAAUCUGUUCUAGCAUGGAAGCUCCUUAGAUAAUAUUUUGUACAUGGUGGUGAUGAUGAUGAUUAUCUGUUCUAGCAUGGAACUGGUUAGAUAGUAUUUUGGACAUGGUUAACUAUAGUAAUUUUUACAUGGUUGUAUUGUUAAAUUACUGCGUUUUUUGAUGGUAUAUGACUGUUGUUUGCAUACAGCUUUUUGUUUUUUUUGUAUAGCUAAGUUUGAAAUUUAAUUUAUGCAAAUUCGAUAAAAAAAAUUGCUGCUGUUUUGUACUGUAUAAUGACUGAAAAGUUGGUGAUUCUAUUGAACAAACUAUGAAAAAAGUAGUUUCAUGCAUUUCGCCUAUGUAGUCUGAUCGCCUGGGGAUUUUUUUUGCCUUGGAUCACUGUGGAACAUUGGAUGGAGAUUGGAGGGCAGAUGGGAGGCUGCAUGUUGCAGCGUGACAUGUUUUAGGCAUGUCACCUGAUCCUAGUCCCUUUGGUUGAUAUGCACGAAGGUACCGAGUCCGUCAAGGAAUCCAAAUUAGAUGUGCUUCAAAGUCAACUUGACAAGUUCAAAAUGAAGGAUGGUGAAGGGGUCGUUGAAAAGUAUUUUAGGCUUGCUCUCAUCACAAAUGAGAUUGCCGGCUUAGGAACUAAAGAGAUGACUGACAUAUUCAUCAUCAAGAAGAUCCUAAGAGCCUUGGAUGGAAAAUAUGAUACCAUGUGCACCUUGAUCCAAAUGAUGCCCAAGUACCAAGAUCUCAAGGCAACAGAGGUCAUUGGUAGAAUUGUUGCUCAUGAGAUGUCACUCAAGGAUAAGGAAGAGCUCCACAACAAGUCUAGUGGUGCUUACAAAGCCUCAUGUGAUGCUCCUACAACAUCAAGUGAGAAACAAGCCUUCAAUGAAGAAUUGAGCCUAAUGGUGAAGAACUUCAACAAGUUCUACAAGAGUAGAAGCAAAGAGAGAAGUUCCAAGUCAAGGUCCUACAAUGAUAAAAGAUCUUCUAGCCAUGAUCGCAAUUGCUACAAUUGUGGAAGAUCCGAACACUACUCUACUGAGUGUACAACUCCCUACAAAAGAAGAGAAGACUCGCCUAAAAGGAUAAGUAAAAGAGAGGAAUCACCACCAAGAGAGAGAAGGAGUAGAUAUGAUCAUUAUGAACAAAGACCCUCUCGCAGAAGCAAGGAUUCGGAAAGGAAGGACAAGUCAUCAAAGAGCUACACAAGACGAAGACAUCAAGCUCAUGUUGGUGAAUGGGUAUCCGGUUCCGACUCCAACAACUACUCCGAGAGAGAAGUUAUCACUCCAACUCCGAAUAUACUCAAGAUGAAGGUGUUGCCGGUAUUGCACUUGUGUCAUCCAACUCCUACGACAUAUUCGACUCACCAAAUGAAGGGAUUGGAAGAUGCUUCAUGGCUAAAGGCCCCAAGGUAUCACACCUCGAGUAUGUUGAUUUCAAUAGUUAGGAAGAUGAUUUGCUAGGUGAUGAUGAUUUACUUGUUGACAACUCUAGUGAUGAAAUCUAUGAUGAAAUUGCUAUUAAUCAUGCUAAUCAAGAUGAAACCAAUGACAAUGAUAAGAAGGAGAUUGAGCGUCUAACUAAAGAACUAAACACUCUUAAGUUAGCUCAUGAAACUACCUUAGAGGAUCAUCGAGAGCUUUUAAAGACUCAUGAGAAGCUACGCUUUGGAAAGCUCAAUCUAGAGCAAGAGCAUGGGUUCUUAAAAGCAAUCAAUGAUGAUCAUCAUAAGAAAAGUUCUUCUUACAUUGCCAAGCAUUUACUCCUGUCUACUUACAUGCCACAAGUAAAAUCUAGCAACAAGAACAAGAAAGAUUCUUCUUCUAGUAGUAACAAUAAUCAUGUUAAAUCCAAUAUUGUUGCUUCUAGUAGUUCUCUUGAUUCCAUUAAUGAUUCUCUUAGCCAUGUUACACUUGAGCAAGAAAAUAGCUUAUUGAAGGGAAUUAUAGAGAAAGGUGUUUACAGGAGCCUUGUCGGAAGUAAGCAAUUUGAGGAAAUUGUAUGCAGGAAAGGAAGGCACCAAAAGAAUCGAGGUGUUGAUUUUGAACGCAAGAUGAAUGCCAAUGGUGUUGAGUGGGAAGAAGAUCAAUACCCCAAGACGAAGUUUGUUCCUCAACAAGAGAAGUAUGAUCCCACUUAUUCAAGGGAACACAAGCUCAAGAUGAUCUUCCACCACAAUACCACAAGCUAAAAGGCAAGGACAAGCUUCAAGAAGAGAUUGAUUCAUUUGAAGAAGCUCCAAAGGCCUUGGUCAAGUGGGUUCCCAAGACUACAUCAAGUUCUACUUCAUCAAGUACGACUAUAACUCCAAGGAUUCCCAUCAAGAUGAUGUGGAUCACAAAGAAGAAGAACUAGAGAGUUCUUGAGGGUGACUCCACCAACAUACUUCACUCAUAUUGAUUUUGGCAAGGACAAGUACAAUCAACCUUCACAUCUGGCACUAGUUCAAGGAGUCACAAACCCUCUUGUUGGUAAGACAAGGGACAAGGUAACUUAAUGCUUUCAUGGACAACAUCGUAUGUGUAUUUCACUCUAUGUCUAUGGAUAUCCUUGUAUAUUCCUUGUGGGACUAACCCAAGUAGGUAUUGAAAGAGCAACUUGAGUGAAAUAUGUCCUAGAGGCAAUAAUAAAGUUGUUAUUUUAUAUUUCCUUAUAUCAUGAUAAAUGUUUAUUAUUCAUGCUAUAAUUGUAUUAGCCGGAAACUUGAUAUAUGUGUGGAUACAUAGACAAAACACCGUGUCCCUAGUAAGCCUCUACUAGACUAGCUCAUUAAUCAAAGAUGGUUAAGUUUCCUAACCAUAGACACGUGUUGUCAUUUGAUAAACGGGAUCACAUCACUAGGAGAAUGAUGUGAUGGACAAGACCCAUCCGUUAGCUUAGCAUUAUGAUCGUUCAGUUUUAUUGCUAUUGCUUUCGUCAUGACUUAUACAUAUUCCUUUGACUAUGAGAUUAUGCAACUCCCGGAUACCGGAGGAAUACCUUGUGUGCUAUCAAUCUUCACAACGUAACUGGGUGAUUAUAAAGAUGCUCUACAGGUAUCUCCAAAGGUAUUUGUUGGGUUGGCAUAGAUCAAGAUUAGUAUUAGUCACUCAGAGUAUCGGAGAGGUAUCUCUGGGCCCUCUCGGUAAUGCAAAUCAUAAUAAACCUUGCAAGCAAUGUGACUAAUGAGUUAGUUGCGGGAUGAGGCAUUACGGAACGAGUAAAGAGACUUGCCGGUAACGAGAUUGAGCUUGGUAUGAAGAUACCGAUGAUCGAAGCUCGGGCAAGUAACAUACCGAUGACAAAGGGAAUAACGUAUGGUGUCAUUACGGUUUGACCGAUAAAGAUCUUCGUAGAAUAUGUAGGAACCAAUAUAAGCAUCCAGGUUCCGCUGUUGGUUAUUUACCGGAGAGGUGUCUCAGUCUUGUCUACAUAGUUCUCGAACCCGUAGGGUCCGCACGCUUAACGUUCAAUGACGAUUUUGUAUUAUAUGAGUUAUGUGAUUUGGUGACUGAAUGUUGUUCGGAGUCCCGGAUGAGAUCACGAACAUGACAAGGAGUCUCGAAAUGGUCGAGAGGUAAACAUUCAUAUAUAGGACGAUAGUAUUCGGACACCAAAAGUGUUCUUGGGGUACUGAGUACGUAUCGGGUCACCGGAAGGGGUUGCGGGCGACCCCUAAUACGUCCAUUUUGCAUCAUGUUUUCUUAUUGUUAUUUAUGAUGUUUUUAUCCAUAAUAAUGCUUUUUGGAGUAAUUCUAAUGCCUUUCUCCUAAUAAUUUGCGAGGUACACACCAAGAGGGAGAAUUCCGGCAGCUGGAAAUCUGGACCUGGAAAAGCUACGUCAGGCUACAUAUUCUGCACAACUCCAAACAAGUUGAAACUUGACGGAGAUUUGUUAUGGAAUAUUUAAGAAGUAUUGGAGCAAAUAACUACUAUAGGGGGCCCACCGGGUGGGCACAACCCACCUGGGUGCACCAAAGCCUAGGCGCACCCUGGUGGGUUGUGCUCACCCAGGCCCACCUCCGGUGCCCAUCUUUCCGUAUAUAAGUCAUUUUGACCUAGAAAAAAAUGAGGAGAGGAAUUUCGGGAUGAAGCACCGCCGCUCGAAGUGGAACUUGGGUAGGAGCACUUUUGCCCUUCGGCAGAGCGAUUCCGCCGGGAGAACUUCCCUCCCGGAGUGGGAAAUCAUCGUCAUCAUCAUCACCAACAACUCUCCCAUCUUGGGGAGGGUAAUCUCCAUCAACAUCUUCAACAGCACCAUCUCAUCUCAAACCCUAGUUCAUCUCUUGUGUUCAAUCUUGUUACUGGAACUAUAGAUUGGUACUUGUGGGUGACUAGUAGUGUUCAUUACAUCUUGUAGUUGAUUACUAUAUGGUUUAUUUGGUGGAAGAUUAUAUGUUCAGAUCCAAUAUGCUAUUUAAUACCCAUCUGAUCUUGAGCAUGAUUAUCAUUUGUGAGUAGUUACUUUUGUUUCUUGAGGUCACAGGAGAAAUCAUGUUGCAAGUAAUCAUGUGAACUCGAUAUGUAUUUGACUGAAGCCUUGGUGUAGCGUCCACUGUAAUUAAAUCUAUCCCUCGGUCUCUUUAUUUGUCAAGGAAAAAAAUGUGAUAUCUGUUUAGCAACGCCACAACAAAAGUUUAAGGAUGGAUAAACUCUGGAUCCAUCAUUGCACCUAUGUAAACUAGAUGGCAUACUGAAUCAUCAUAUUUAGUGUGAGUGUGAUUAAUUUAUCUUUUAUAUAUGAGUUGUUGUACCAUCCUGACAUGUAUAUACAUAUAUGUCUUGACAUGUUGUACCAUCCUUGCUACCGGAACCAAGAAGAUUGCAGUCCACUAAUUUAUAUACUUUGUUUUUGUUUGGCAGAAUUGAAUGUUGUGCAAAGGCAGAAAUUGGAAAGAGGACACCCAAAGUUGGUAUGAGGUUCAGAGAUUCGGAAGAGGAUUGGGAGUUUUGGGUAGAUUAUGGGGGCCACAUCGGCUUUGAUGUGAGGAAAAGAUCCACAAUCAAAAGCAGAUGUGAUGGUGUGAUUACUUCACGCUGGUUUGUUUGUUCCAAUGAAGGCCAUCAAAGGAAAAACCAAACAGAUCAUGAGCCAAAGCGUAUUAGAGCAUAAACAAGAACCAAUUGUAAGGCUCAUGUGAUUGUUAGAUAUGAUCGAGUUGCCAACAAUUUUGAAGUCACCAAAGUUGAUUUGGAGCACAAUCACCGCCUUCAAUUGCCACAAACCUGCCACUUGUUAGCAUCACAAAGGAAGAUUCCAGAAGUGCAAGCUUUCGAGAUAGAAACAGCCGAUGAUUUUGGAAUUAUGCCAAAAGCUUCACAUGAGUAUGCUUGUCGUCUAGUUGGUAGCCCUAAACAACCUUGGUUACACUUUCCAUGACUGAAAGAACCAUUUGCGAAGUAAGCAGCAGCGGGAGUUGGCUUCUGGACAGGCUGGAAGUAUGUUGAAUUAUUUUUGUGACAAGCAGGCUAAGAAUGCAGCAUUCCAAUACCAUUUGCGGUUGGAUAGUGAGGAUCAUAUAGCCAACAUAUUCUGGGUUGAUGCUAAAAUGCUACUUGACUAUGCACACUUUGACGAUGUUUUCACACUUGACACUACAUUUGGCACAAACAAAGAGUAUAGGCCAUUUGGUAUUUUUCUUGGGCUGAACCAGUUCAGAAAAACAACCAUUUUUGGUGUUGCAUUGAUGUUCGAUGAAACACAUGACUCCUUUAUAUGGCUCCUUGAGACUUUUCUAGCCGCACAUAAUGUAAGGCAACCUAGAACUAUCUAUACAGAUCAAGAUGUUGCAAUGGGAAAAGCCAUAGAAAAGGUCUUCACAUAAUCAUAUCAUGGAUUGUGCACCUUUCAUAUAAUGCAAAAUGCUGUCAAACACUUAACUUCUGCGAAGGGCGAAGAAAAAUAUGAAGUGUAAGAGAGAGAUGAAGUGGAGGAUGAAUAAAAAGAGCCUCAUAUUCUUGCAGACUUUGGUACUCGUAUGUAUGGCUAUGAAGACAAGGUAGCAUUUGAAGAAGCGUUUUCCAAUAUGAGGCUCAAAGUGCAUAAGCGAACUUGGUUAGAUAGUAUCUACAAGGUGAAAGAAAAAUGGGUUGAAUGUUAUAUGAGAGAUGUCUUUAGCUUGGGAGUGAGAAGUACACAGUUAAGUGAGAGCUUCAACAAUGCAUUGAAAAAUCAUUUGAAAUCAGAUUUUCAUAUUCUUCGAUUCUUAAUGCAUUUUGAGAGGACAGUGGCAGUAAAAAGAAAAGCUGAAUUAGAAUUUGAAUUCGAUGCAAUAAAGAAUAUAUCAAUAAUUAAGAUGAAGACUCCUAUGUUGGUGGAAGCAAGCGAAGUAUACACUCCGAUUAUUCUUUAGGCUUUCCAAGGUGAGUAUGAAAGAUCAAUGGCUGCAUGUUGUAGAGUAUUGGAUGGAAAUAACAAAUUUGUUGUUGCUAUUGCGAGGUUGCAUGGCAAUUUACAGUUUGAGGAGGAGCGCAUAGUGAUAGGUGAUUCUUUGACCAAAACGGUUUCAUGUAGUUUUGAGAUGUUUAAUAGGACAGGAGUCUUGUGUGCACAUGGUCUAAAAGUGCUUGAUUUGAUGAACAUAAAGACAUUGCCGGCACAUUAUGUCUUGAAGAGGUGGACUAGAGAAGCUCGCAAUGGAAGUAUACAAGAUAGACAAGGAAGGAAUGUGGUAGAAAAUCCAAAAAUGGAAGCUGAACUUCGAUAUAAGGAUUUGUCUCGUAAAUUUCACAAAAUGGCACAAAAAGCAGCCAACUCUCCACAAUGUUGUAUUCUAUUGGAUAAAGCACUUGAUUCCGUUGCUCCGCAUAUACAUGAUUUACUCAAUGCAUCCACUAGUGCCAUGAAUGAACUAUGUAAAGAUAAAGAGAAUGUUGACCCAAAUGUGCAGCAAGUAGAUGAGUUGCUUAGAUCUGCAUGGCUGAAGAAAAAAGAGGUUCAGUCAAAGAACUUAAGGAGAAAGAAAAAUUGGCUUGAUAAGUUACUCAAGGGGAAGCACAGAGUAACUAAAGGACCAACAAAACAGGGAGAAAAGGUAAGUUGCAAUUGGUACAUGAUAUGUUGUUAUUGCUCAUUUGUUAACUAAUUACAUUGAUUUUUGUUCUCGGCCACAAAGGAUGAAGGAUGGUGUGCAACAAAAGAAAAAAGAUUGUGUGCAGCCUCAAGUAGAAGCGGAGAAGUAUGACAACAACAAAGAAGUAAAUUUGGUGCUUCAAGAGUGCAAUAAUAUUAUGAGUUUCACCCAGCUCUUGACGGCUGACCAUGAUAAUCU
rnacentral:lncRNA from 1 species